AGUCUCAGUUGGAUAGCUGGACACAAAUGCCUCACUACCCUGGAAAUGGACCCAAAGGAAUCAGAAACAAAGGACGCUGAUGCUGCUUUUCAUCCUUCUGCCCAAGGAGAAUAAAUGUUUGUGCAAACCUUUUUUCAUGUGGCUGCCCAGAAAUGACCCGAGUGAAGCCAAGAAGUUGAACAUUAAGCAACCUCGCCCUGGUGAUGCUGCUGAAAUGAGAGUGAAGUUGAAGAAAGGCUCUUGUCCUCAGGUAUUAUUUGUAAACAGAACUUCUCCUCCCAUCCCAAGCAGCCUCUGGGGUUUCUCUCCCUCCCAGAAGCCAAGCUGUGCGCGGAGCCGCGGAAGGAAGGUGCGACCCUACGGCGCGCGCAACAAAGUACAGAAACAAGAUCAUUAACAUCUUAAUAUCCUGCCCUGACA